GUGCUUGCUUCAGCUGCACAUAUGCUAAAGCUGGAAUGCAACAGUGAAGAUUAUCACAGCCCCUGAGCAAGGGAUGACAGGCAAAUUCAUGAAGUGCUCCAAGCAACU
rnacentral:snRNA from 1 species